AACGCGAAGAACCUUACCUGGGCUCGAAGUGUAGUGGACCGGGGUGGAAACAUCCCUUCCCCGCAAGGGGCUGCUAUAUAGGUGCUGCAUGGCUGUCGUCAGCUCGUGUCGUGAGAUGUUGGGUUAAGUCCCGCAACGAGCGCAACCCUUAUUGCCAGUUGCCAUCAUUUAGUUGGGCACUCUGGCGAAACUGCCCCGGAUAACGGGGAGGAAGGUGGGGAUGACGUCAAGUCCUCAUGGCCUUUAUGUCCAGGGCUACACACGUGCUACAAUGGUCGGUACAAACCGUCGCAAACCCGCGAGGGGGAGCUAAUCGGAAAAAGCCGACCUCAGUUCGGAUUGGAGUCUGCAACUCGACUCCAUGAAGCUGGAAUCGCUAGUAAUCGCGGAUCAGCACGCCGCGGUGAAUACGUUCCCGGGCCUUGUA
rnacentral:rRNA from 1 species